rnacentral:rRNA from 1 species
UACUGGGGGGGUAAGCGUUGUUCGGCAUUACUGGGCGUAAAGGACUCGUAGGCGGCCAACUAAGUCAGACGUGAAAUCCCUCGGCUUAACCGGGGAACUGCGUCUGAUACUGGAUGGCUUGAGGUUGGGAGAGGGAUGCGGAAUUCCAGGUGUAGCGGUGAAAUGCGUAGAUAUCUGGAGGAACACCGGUGGCGAAGGCGGCAUCCUGGACCAAUUCUGACGCUGAGUGAGCGAAAGCCAGGGGAGCAAACGGG